AGUGAACGCUGGCGGUAGGCCUAACACAUGCAAGUCGAACGGCAGCACAGGAGAGCUUGCUCUCUGGGUGGCGAGUGGCGGACGGGUGAGGAAUACAUCGGAAUCUGCCCAGUCGUGGGGGAUAACGUAGGGAAACUUACGCUAAUACCGCAUACGACCUUCGGGUGAAAGAGGGGGAUCGCAAGACCUCUCGCGAUUGGAUGAGCCGAUGUCGGAUUAGCUAGUUGGCGGGGUAAUGGCCCACCAAGGCGACGAUCCGUAGCUGGUCUGAGAGGAUGAUCAGCCACACUGGAACUGAGACACGGUCCAGACUCCUACGGGAGGCAGCAGUGGGGAAUAUUGGACAAUGGGCGCAAGCCUGAUCCAGCCAUACCGCGUGGGUGAAGAAGGCCUUCGGGUUGUAAAGCCCUUUUGUUGGGAUAGAAAUCGUUCAGGCUAAUACCCUGGGAGGAUGACGGUACCCAAAGAAUAAGCACCGGCUAACUUCGUG
rnacentral:rRNA from 1 species